rnacentral:tRNA from 1 species
GGGCCGUUAGCUCAGUUGGUUAGAGCAGGCGACUCAUAAUCGCCCAGUCGCGGGUUCAAGCCCCGCACGGCCUAC